rnacentral:rRNA from 1 species
GAUGAACGCUGGCGGCGUGCCUAAUACAUGCAAGUCGAGCGAACAGAUGAGGAGCUUGCUCCUCUGACGUUAGCGGCGGACGGGUAAGUAACACGUGGAUAACCUACCUAUAAGACUGGGAUAACUUCGGGAAACCGGAGCUAAUACCGGAUAAUAUAUUGAACCGCAUGGUUCAAUAGUGAAAGACGGUUUUGCUGUCACUUAUAGAUGGAUCCGCGCCGCAUUAGCUAGUUGGUAAGGUAACGGCUUACCAAGGCGACGAUGCGUAGCCGACCUGAGAGGGUGAUCGGCCACACUGGAACUGAGACACGGUCCAGACUCCUACGGGAGGCAGCAGUAGGGAAUCUUCCGCAAUGGGCGAAAGCCUGACGGAGCAACGCCGCGUGAGUGAUGAAGGUCUUCGGAUCGUAAAACUCUGUUAUUAGGGAAGAACAAAUGUGUAAGUAACUAUGCACGUCUUGACGGUACCUAAUCAGAAAGCCACGGCUAACUACGUG